AUUGAACGCUGGCGGCAGGCCUAACACAUGCAAGUCGAGCGGCUGCAGCGUGCUUGCUUCUUCUUUCAGCUGCCGACUGGUGUAUACUGCCUAUGUAUCUCCCUGCUUGUUUUUUAUUACGUCCUGAAACGGGCUCUUAUACCCCAUUCGUCCUUACGGCGUACGUGUGGGAUCUUCGGAUCUCUCGCUCUUAGAUGAGCCUAUGUCGGAUUAGCUAGUUGGUGUGGUAAAGGCCUACCAAGGCUACUAUCCGUAACUGGUCUGAGAGGAUGAUCAGUCACACUGGAACAGAGAAACGAUCCAGACACCUACGGGAGGCAGCAGUGGGGAAUAUUGGACAAUGGGCGAAAGCCUGAUACAGCAAAGCCGCGUGAGUGAAGAAGGACUACGGAUUGUAAAGCAAUUUAAGUAGGAAGGAAGAGAAGGAAGUUAAUACCGGGCUGUUAUGACGGUACCAACAGAAUAAGCACCGGCUAACUUCGUG
rnacentral:rRNA from 1 species